rnacentral:rRNA from 1 species
GAUGAACGCUGGCGGCGUGCCUAAUACAUGCAAGUCGAGCGAACGGACGAGAAGCUUGCUUCUCUGAUGUUAGCGGCGGACGGGUGAGUAACACGUGGAUAACCUACCUAUAAGACUGGGAUAACUUCGGGAAACCGGAGCUAAUACCGGAUAAUAUUUUGAACCGCAUGGUUCAAAAGUGAAAGACGGUCUUGCUGUCACUUAUAGAUGGAUCCGCGCUGCAUUAGCUAGUUGGUAAGGUAACGGCUUACCAAGGCAACGAUGCAUAGCCGACCUGAGAGGGUGAUCGACCACACUGGAACUGAGACACGGUCCAGACUCCUACGGGAGGCAGCAGUAGGGAAUCUUCCGCAAUGGGCGAAAGCCUGACGGAGCAACGCCGCGUGGGUGAUGAAGGUCUUCGGAUCGUAAAACUCUGUUAUUAGGGAAGAACAUAUGUGUAAGUAACUGUGCACAUCUUGACGGUACCUAAUCAGAAAGCCACGGCUAACUACGUG